GCACUACAGCAGAACAUAUACUAAAAUUGGAAUGAUACAGAGAUUAGUGUGGCCCCUGCACAAAGAUGGCCUGAAAAUUUGUGAAGCAGUCUAUAUUAAA
rnacentral:snRNA from 1 species